rnacentral:rRNA from 1 species
GAUGAACGCUAGCGGCAGGCUUAACACAUGCAAGUCGGGCGGCAGCGGGGUGGGAGCUUGCUCCCACUGCCGGCGAGCGGCGCACGGGUGAGUAACACGUAUGCAACCUGCCCCUGUCAGGGGGACAACCCACCGAAAGGUGGGCUAAACCCGCGUACAUCCGGAGGGGGCAUCCCCUUGGGAGGAAAGGAGCGAUCCGGACAGGGAUGGGCAUGCGGCGCAUUAGCUAGACGGCGGGGUAACGGCCCACCGUGGCGACGAUGCGUAGGGGUUCUGAGAGGAAGGCCCCCCACACUGGUACUGAGACACGGACCAG